rnacentral:rRNA from 1 species
CCUACGGGAGGCAGCAGUGAGGAAUAUUGGUCAAUGGACGAGAGUCUGAACCAGCCAAGUAGCGUGAAGGAUGACUGCCCUAUGGGUUGUAAACUUCUUUUAUAUGGGAAUAAAAUGUUCCAUGCGUGGGAUUUUGUAUGUACCAUAUUAAUAAGGAUCGGCUAAGUCCGUGCCAGCAGCAGCGGUAAUACGGAGGUUCCGAGCGUUAUCCGGAUUUAUUGGGUGUAAAGGGCGUGUAGGUGGAUUGUUAAGUCAGUUGUGAAAGUUUGCGGCUCAACCGUAGAAUUGCAGUUGAAACUGGCAGUCUUGAGUACAGUAGAGGUGGGCGGAAUUCGUGGUGUAGCGGUGAAAUGCUUAGAUAUCACGAAGAACUCCGAUGGCGAAGGCAGUUCACUGGACUGCAACUGACACUGAGGCUCGAAAGUGUGGGUAUCAAACAGGAUUAGAUACCCUGGUAGUC